rnacentral:rRNA from 1 species
AUUGAACGCUGGCGGCAGGCCUAACACAUGCAAGUCGAACGAGUGGCGGACGGGUGAGUAAUGUCUGGGAAACUGCCCGAUGGAGGGGGAUAACUACUGGAAACGGUAGCUAAUACCGCAUACCAUCAGAUGUGCCCAGAUGGGAUUAGCUAGUAGGUGGGGUAACGGCUCACCUAGGCGACGAUCCCUAGCUGGUCUGAGAGGAUGACCAGCAACACUGGAAUUGGGACACGGGCCAGACUCUUACGGGAGGCAGCAGUGGGGAUUAUUGCACAAUGGGGGAAAGCCUGAGGCAGCCAGGCCGGGUGUAUGAAGAGGGCCUUCGGGUUGUAAAGUACUUUCAGCGAGGAGGCGUUACUCGCAGAAGAAGCAUCGGCUAACUCCGUGCCAGCAGCCGCGGUAAUA